CCUUGAGAGAAGAGCGCCAGCUGCAGCGAGGCUGCACUGCCCCGAUCCUCAGAGCAGAGGCUCUGUGCUCCUCGGCUUUCCUGGCAGGACAAUGUUGGUGCAGCUCCCUGGGCUGUGCUGAAGCACAUCCCUUGAUGUGACACUGAUGGGUGAGGGGCUGUGUCAAGCUGGAAGCAGGACCGCAGGUGCAGCUGUGUGAGCAGCUGACUGAGCGCUCUCAUGCCGAGGGCACGAAGGUGUUGCUGCUCUUCCCUGUGGCUCUUGGUUGAGAUGGACGAACAGUGGAAGUAGGAGCCUUGCAAACUGAAGGACAGUGAAUGGAGAUGGAGAAUGCUUCGGGUCAAAGGCCAGUGACACUCCUGGAAAUACGCGGUGUGCUCACCUGGUAUCCAGGCAGUGAAGACGAGCAAUAUGAGGAUGCCACUGGACAUGGAAGGUAACUCUGUCUGGGAAUGUGCAGCUGCCACUGCUCUUGACCCCUUCCAAUUGCCAUAUGUCUGCGUGGGCCACACGGGAAAACGCUAUUUACAGGACAGCUGCCAGUAAAAACGUGAUCCUGCCCCGUGCUAACGUGAUGCAAUCUGGUUUCAGCUGAGGCAGCGGAGUCUGGCCGCCGAGUAUCUACCACCAGCACUUCAUGCUGCUCACAAGCAAGGACCUGAUCAAUGUGCUGCUGGAAUCCAUGACUUUGCUCAGAGUUCAUGCCAUGAGUCAGAAGCAGCACCAGAAUUUCAGAAACAACAGUAGUAUUUCAGCCAGCCCGGUAGAGAAAGAUCUCAGCAGUACCUGCUCUUCCAAAUUUAUUCAUUGUUUACUUACCCGACACUAGGGUGUCCUCUUUGCAGACAGUUUGAAUGGACAUCAGGGUGUUUUUCCUGCUAUGAUAGAAAAGGUGGCCUUUUCUCCAAGCUGACUGGAACAUCCCUGUGCCUCCUCCUUGCUUCAGACUGGAAAACAGAGCUGCCAAAGUGGUGUUGCAGGGUGACCACAGAGCGACUGGCAUUUGUACUUUCCUUUCUUAAUUCCUCUUGGCUUGCUUUCCCAGUUUCUCACAUCAUAUUGAGGGACCUCAAAAGCUCUGCUCACGAAAGAAGCACAGUCCAAUUUAAUGAACUAAUACACUAUUUCUAAUGAGGGGAACCUGAAGAGACAACAAUCUUUUUACUGAUUUACUCUUUAAAGUAUUAUCCCUCAGAAAUGGUUGACCAUUAACAUACUACAAAGAAUGACAGGAUUCAGUUUGCCUCAAUUCUGCAGCAUGUGUUUGGAUUUAGAUACCUGGAGCUUAUCUCAAUGGUAGGCAGCAACCCAGCCAUCGGCUUUGUCUCAUUGACACAGAGCACCUUAGGUGCCAGCAUUCACUGCCACUCCUUGAAGGGACCAUCUCACAGCUAAGGACACGGGAGAGCUGAAGACAGAGGAGCAGGACUGCAGUUACAUGCCACCUCCCACCUCUCCUUGAUUUAAGCCUCAGCUGUGAGUACUCAGGACAUCUGCAAGGCAGGCCUUACAAACGGCACCAUUAAAGAAUGAACGCACGGAGUUUGCACCCACUAGUGAAAAAAACCUUGACUUAAGUGGGCUAAUUUGCCCACGUUAAGCAGGAGCUGAGAUGCCAAGGAAUUUCUUUAUCCUUCCUGGUUUUGUCCUCUAGUAAGUAUCAGAGGCCCUUUCUAGCCACACUCUCUCUUGUUGGCAGGGAGUUUCAGCAAGCCUGCUGAAGGGCUCAGACAUUUAGUGCCCUCCAAAAUCAAACACCUCCAUGCACACACCGUGCUUGGCUGGACUGCUCUAAGGUGUUUCCUGAAGCCUGGCAGCGUGCUGAGCAGGCUGAGCCCAGCAGGCACCAGGCACAUCUGCCAGCCUGUCCUAGGGGAUCUAGCCAGCAGGCUGCCAGCUGUUCGUGGCUCUGCUCAUUGUGCUUUAAACGACAUAGUCUGAAGUUUCCAAUUCAAAGAAGAUUAAUGAAAAAAAAAAGGAUUUAGCAGCAUUUUAUCAGCCAGACUGCUGAACUGGACCUCAAGUGUGAUUAGUGACUGGAAAAACUGACGUACACCACCUCACUAUUCCAGGCUGAGUCCCACUGAAUUAGAGAAAACAUUUGUCAUCUGUGAAAAAUAAACCUGGUUUAUCUUCUGGUUAACCAAUUGCAACAAUCUGUGCAAAGAUUUGGGGAUACCAAGGAGAUCUGGAUGCCCAGCUCUCACAAUUGUUGCUAACUGGGCGUUCCCUGGCUUCACAAGACUGUGGAAGGUAUCUGCCUGCAGCACAAGGCAUUUCAGCAUCCCUGAAACACAGCUGCUCGCAUGCACUGUGGAGUUCCCCUGGCCCUCAGGCAGACCAUACAGUGCAACGACUUUGAGACAAGAAGGAAAUAAAGAACACAACGUAAGCAUGGAGAAUAAGAAAAUUUUAAGCUUGACUUUUAGCUCAGUUUUGUGCCACUGUGACUACUUUCUUUUUCCACCAGAGUUCUUAUUUCCACUGGACAGAGAGAAGAAAGUCAACCAGCCUCCCACAGAAGUAUGUUUAGAAGUGUGUUUAGAUCUUGCAGUUCUUGAGAGCAGCUGGUCAUCUAAUUUUACAUAGCAAAGUACACUAGAUGAGGUCCUAGUUACUGAUUUAUAGGAAAGUGAUGAAUAAAACCUGAAUGAAUGGAUUAAUUUUUUAUUUUUUUUAAUUGUUUUGCAUGACUGAAAAAUAAAACUUGUGGUGCUUGA